rnacentral:lncRNA from 1 species
UUCUUAUUAUUAUUAUUAUCAUUAUUAUUAUUAUCAUUAUUAUUAUUAUUAUUAUUAUUAUUAUUAUUAUUAUUAUUAUUAUUAUUAUUAUUAUUAUUAUUAUUAUUAUUAUUAUUAUUAGUAGUAGUAGUAGUAGUAGUAGCAUUAGUAUUAGUAUUAUUAUUAUCAUUACUACCACCACCAUCAUCAUCAUCAUCAUUAUUAUUAUUAUUAUUAUUAUUAUUAUUAUUAUUAUUAUUAUUAUUAUUAUUAUUAUUAUUAUUAUUAUUAUUAUUAUUAUUAUUAUUAUUAUUAUUAUUAUUGUUAUUAUUCACCGUCCUAGUAGUACUGGCAGCAGCAAUAGCAGUAGCAGUGAGUAGUUGUAGUAGUAGCCUUAGUAGAAUUAUUAGUGUCACUAUUAUUACUAACAUUACACCGGAAGUAUUCACGCUUAGACCUUAUUAACGUUGUUUUUGUUAUUUUCAUCAAGUGAAAUGACUUCGAAAUAUUUGUGAUAUUUGGUGUACAUUCUCUAUAAAAUAAUCGAAUUUCUUUGUUUUCUUUUCCUCUUUUCAUGCUGUGAAGUGGGAAAUGACUUUACAAAACAAUUUUUUGCGCUCUUAUUAUUAUCUAACAACAGCAGAAAUAUAUGUACAAAGUGAAGAACAAAACUAAAACAUUUUUCUUAUUUUAAAUGGAAAUCAAAUUUAGUUUUUCAACUGAAUCCAGGUAUUGCGCAUGUAAAAUAUAUAUAUAUAUAUAUAUUGUUUUUCUUUUUACAGAAAAUAUAUUUGUCUUGUACAUUUUGAAAGAAGAAAAAACGGUGAUAUAUAUAUAACAACAGUAACUCACAGAAUGUGGUAUUUUGCGAAAAAGAACGAUGAAUUUUUGAAGUUAAAGUCUGUGAUAUAAGUGAUUAAUCCAGUUUGUCAAUUACUAUUUUACUCUCGAACAAACAGGUUGUGAUAUGAUAAACCGGGUUGUGAUUUCUUUUCGAGACAGAAAUGUGUUACAAAGACAAGGACGUCUGUGCCCGAAGUGAAGAGCGUGAGAAGGAAACUUACGUAAUAUCUCUGCAUCUGCGUAAUUAAUCUGCCCCUUCUGAUGUCCUUCAGAAUGCAGCUGAAAACAGUUGUAGACACUGUGACAAAAUAUGUACUCAGUAUGUAGAAGUGAAGGAGCGUGGCUCAGUAGUUAGAGCGUCGAGCUUGCGAUCGUGAGGCUAUGAGCUCGAAUCCCGGACCGGGCUGCGUGUUGUGUUCUUGAGCAAAACACUUUAUUUCACGUUGCUCCAGUUCACUCAGCUGUAGAAAUGAGUUGCGACGUCACAGGUGCCAAGCUGUAUCGGCCCCUUUGCCUUUCCCUUGGACAACAUCGGUGACGUGGAGAGGGGAGGCCGGUAUGCAUGGGUGACUGCUUGUUUUCCAUAAACACCCUUGCCUGCACUUCUGCCCGAGAGAGUAAGUGGUGCAAUCCCAUGGUCAGUCAUGACCGAAGGGGUUCUCAAUAUAUAUAUAUUUAUAUAUAACCUCAUAGUCCUUAUGUUCUAUGUUCUGUUUCAAGCAUUAUCAUAAUUAUAUCAUAUAGAAUAAUUUUACUUGUGUUUUCUUCGUUGAAUUUCAAUGUUUGAACUAGAUUUGAUCUUAUUACCUUUCCAUCCGUGACAAUUCCAUUAGUAUACAGUAAUUUGCGACUGUCAUAUCUAGCGUGAGCUUCCACUUUCACUCUACAAUAACAUUCUUGUAGAUUACUUUUACACCGGGAGAAAUAUUCCGCGGUAUUUCGUCUGCCGAACGUUCUGAUUUCAAAUGCUGCCGAGGUCAACUUUGCCUAGGGGGCGAUUAAAAUACCAGUUGAACUUGAACAGUUGGGUCAAUGUAAUCGACUCCAAAAUUGCUGCAGUUAUGGCAUAAUUUGGACCCUCUAUUACUAUUAUUAUUAUUGUUAUUAUUAUUAUUAUUAGUAGUAAUAUUAUUAUUAUUUAUGGGUUUUUCUUCUUCCUUCAAAUUUGCUUCCAUUUCUUGCCGAGUGUCUUCCCAACUCCUAGGGCAAAGUAACUCAUAGUAUACAUUUGUAGGCCAUUAAACUAAACUCAAUAGUUCGUUAAUUUUUUUUAAAGUUAAAUUAAAAUACAUGGGUAGUAAUAGUUCUCACAUCGACAAUGCUCUUCUCAAUACGUGUGAUGUACCAGUUAAGACAAUCUUUUGCACUUCUUGCAGGGAUGGUAAGCCAGGGAUCAUUCUCAUAUAAUUUUCGGUUCCCUUCUUGAUCAUUUCUAGUGCUCCUAUUAUUAUUAUUAUUAUUAUUAUUAUUAUUAUUAUUAUUAUUAUUAUUAUUAUUAUUAUUAUUAUUAUUAUCAUUAUUAUUAUUAUUAUUAUUAUUAUUAUUAUUAUUAUUAUUAUUAUUAUUAUUAUUAUCAUUAUUAUUAUUAUUAUUAUUAUUAUUAUUAUUAUUAUUAUUAUUAUUGAAGUACUUUUGACGAGGAAAUGUUUGCGAUGUUGCCAUUCAUUAUAGAAUCUAUUAUUUUUAUAAGCAAGCCUUAAAUGAUAUCUUAUGUUUUAUGAUGUUGUUUGUUUUUCAAAUCUCCUUCAGAGUAUGUUUUUGAUAUCUCAUUCAGAGAACUUCUCUGACGUAUCUCGAUUACAAAAAAAAAAAAAUUAGGAAUUUUCUUUCUAGAGUUUAUACAAUUUUUUUUUUUGUUAAGAUGUUAUUUUGUGUUUACAUUCAACACACACAAAGUGAGAUAACACCUAGGAAAAAGUUUCAAUUUAGAAUAACAACACAACAUAAAAAAAAAAACAUUAUAAAGAACGACAAAAUAGAAACUUUGAUAGCAAUGCAGCAAACUUUAAGGAAAGAAAAAAAUUCGGAAAAAGAAAAAUCGUUAUUUAUUGUCAGAAAACACGCACAAAGAAGUUUGACGAUAUAGCAGUCAGUAAAGGAAGGGAACGUUAGCACGGCGGGCGAAGUGCUUUACGUUCUGAGUUCAAAUUCCGCCGAGGUCGACUUUGCCUUCCAUCCUUUCGGGGUCGAUAAAUUAAGUACCAGUUACGCACUAGGUACGAUGUAAUCGACUUAAUACUUUGUUUGUCCCCUCUAUGUUUAGCCCCUUGUGGCCAAUAGAUUAAUAAGAAACGUUAACACGCCAGGCGAAAUGCUCAGCGGUAUUUUGUUUAUCCUUACGUUUUGAGUUCAAAUUCCGCCAAGGUCAACUUUGCCUUUCAUCCUUUCGGGGUCGUUAAAUUAAGCACCAGUAGCGUAUUGGGGUAGAUCUAACCGACUGGCCUCCUCCCCCAAAAUUUCGAGCGUUGUGCCUAAAGUACCAAAAAGUGUGUGGGGGGGGGGGGAAGAAACGUUAGUACCCGAGCGAAAUGCAUAGCAGAUUUUACCUUCUGAGUUCAAAUUCACCCGAGGUCGAUUUUGCCUUUCAAUCUUUCGGGAUCGAUAAAUAAAGUACCAGUAGACUGCCCCCCACCAAAAACAAAUUCCGGGUCUCGUUCCUAAAGUAGAAAAGUAUAGAGCAAUCAGUAAAAAUAACAGGAAUAACGUAUCUAUGUAAACAGAGGCAUUAAUACAGAGAAAAAACUAUUAUCCGAAGUCAUGUAUACUUCCUGGCGCAGCGCAGGCGUCACGUUAAAAAGUCUUGUUCAUAAUAGUGAAUGUUUUGAGGGUUUGUGAGUUCAAUUCCCGGUGACGUGUUGUGUCCUUCAGCAAGACGCUUCACUUCACAUUGCUCCUGUCCACUCAGCUGGCAAAAAUAAAUAGUACUUGUAUGUUAAAGGGGCCAGCUGUGUCAGAUUGUGUGUCACACUGAGAGGUAGAUAAUAGAUUGAUAGAUGGAUAGAUAUAUAGAAAGAUAAAUAGAUAAAUAUAUAGAUAGAUGGAUAGAUAGAUAUAGAGGUAGAUAGAUGGAUAGAUAGAUACAUAGACAGAUGGAGUGCUAGUUAGCUAGACACACAUAUAUAUGGAUAGAUAGAUAGAUAGAUAGAUAGAUGGAUAGAUAGAUAGAUGGAUAGAUAGAUACAUAGACAGACGGAGUGCUAGUUAGCUAGACAGACAUAUAGAUAGAUAGAUAGAUAGAUAGAUAGAUAGAUAUAUAGAUAGAUAGAUAGAUAAUGCUUUUAUCUCGCCGAUAUCUACUCACAGUGCUUUGGUUGCAUCGAGGCCAGCAUUGAAGAUACUUGGACAAAGUGCCGCACAGUCGAACUGAACCCAUGUACAGGUUAUCGGGAAGUAAGCUUCCCACACGUGACUGUGGAGUAGUUAGCAAACUUGCACGUUUACUUCACGAGCAGAUUGUUCCGCUGGUCGCAUCCGCUGAAACGCCCAUCGUCAUAAUCGACUGAUAUCAGUUAAUAAUAUACAGCAUUUUCUCUCGUGAUAGAACUUUCCAGAAUGAUAUUAAACUGGUGUGGCUCUGAGGUCAGAAGCUUAUUUCUCGACAACUUGCACUUGGGUUCAGUCCCAUUGCGCGGCACUUUGGCCAACUAUCUUCAACUAUGGCAUCGUCCAAAGCAUUGUGAUUAGAUACCUGGGAAACAGAAAGUACAUGUCUACCUGUCUAUCUAUCUAUCUAUCUAUCUAUCUAUCUAUCUAUCUAUCUAUCUCUCUCUCUCUCUAUCUAUCUAUCUAUCUAUCUAUCUAUCUAUCUAUCUAUCUAUCUAUAUAUAUAUAUAUAUAUAUAUAUAUAUAUAUAUAUAUAUAUAUAUAUAUAUAUAUAUAAUAUAAAUUUUAUAUAUAUAUAUAUAUAUAUAUAUAUAUGUAUGUAUAUGUAUAUUUAAUAAUGUCAUAUAUAUAUAUAUAUAUAUAUAUAUAUAUAUAUAUAUAUAUAUAUAUAUAUAUAUAUAUAUAUAUAUGGCCUGCUCGCUUAGCCAGCGGGAUGGCGUCAUUUAAAGGAUUAAAACAAUGCGAAACGCAUAGUCACCAGCGAUGUGUAGCAACAUCUGAUAGCCUGGUCGGUCACGGUGAUCACGGUGAUAUAUAUAUAUGAGAGAGAGAGAGAGAGAGAGAGAGAGAGAGAGAGAGAGAGAGAGAGCAGGGGAGAGAGUAUUAUUUACCAAGAAUAGAAUUGAUUGUGAUUUCGAAGUUUCGGACUAGCUAACCCAUCGUUGACUGUUCCAAACUUCGAAUUCAUUGUCAGUGCUAAUCUUGUUAAAGAAGAAUAAAUUUUUGCGAAACGAAUUGAAUAAUUCUUCAAAUUAAUGUCCGAUUGUAUUUUUACUAAAACAUUAAAGAAAACAAGCAUAAAUGUGUGUGUAUGUGUGUAUGUGUGUGAAUGUAUUCAUGUGACUGUAUGUGUGAAUGUAUGUACAGUAUUUAUGUGAAUGUAUGUGUGAGUGUGUAUAUGUGCGAGUACGUGUGUACGUGUGUGGCUGUAUGUGUGAGUAUGUGUAUGUGUGUUUAUGUGUUAAUUUAUAUGCGUGUACGUGUGUGUAUAUAUUUAUAUCUGUGUGAGCGUGUGCAUGUAUGUGAAGUGUGUUUAUAUGUGUGUGAGCGUGUAUGUCCGUAUGCUUCUGUUUAUAUGCUUGUAUGUGUGUGUGUUUUUAUGUGUAUGAGCGUGUAUGUGUGUUCUUUAUAUGCUUGUAUGUAUGCGUGUGCUUCUGUUUAUAUGUUUGUAUGUGUGUAUGUUUAUAUGUUUGUAAGUGUAUGUCUGUGAGCGUGCAUGUGUGUGUGUGUGUGCGUUCUUCUAUUUAUAUGCUUGUAUUCGUCCGCCACAAUUUGCUGACCGCAGGAGUUGGUUUAUGUACCUCGGCGUGACUCAGCGGUUCAGCAAAAGAGACAGAAUGAAGCCGAAGCAGAAUGCUAUUUGAUAUUCUGUUCGGAUGGGGAAGUCCUUAAGACACCUGAACAUCAAAGAAUAACUACAGAUCAUAGCCAUUCAGAUGCAUCUCAUUUCCAUUAGCACCUGCAGCAGCAGCAGGAGCCGUAGCAGCAGCCGAAGCUGCAGUUGCAACAGUAGCCGCAGCACCAUCACCGGGACCACCACCACUGCCACAACUGCAACCACCACCAUAAUCACCACCACCACUACCAUCACCACCACCACUACCACCACCGUCACUGCCACCACUACCACCACCGUCACUGCCACCACCACCUCUGACAGCCAUCAUCACCAUCACCACCACGAAUGCCUCCUCAACAUUCUAAACAUUGUCAUCUGCAGCAGCACUGGCAAUACGAAUAAAAUCUUCAUCAUGAUCAUCAUCAUGAUCAUCAUCAUCAACGUCACCCCUCCAUCAUCAUCAUCAUCAUCAUUAUCAUCAUCAUCGUCAACAACAACAUCAUCAUCAUCAUUGCAGUAGUCGUCGUCGUCGUCAUCAAGCUGCUCCACCCAAUACUUUUCUUCGAGGCCCUCAUCAUCAUCAUCAACAUCAUCAACACCACCACCACCAUCACAAUUAUCAUCAUCAUCAUCAUCAUCAUCAUCAUCACAAACACCACCACCACCACCACCAAUGUGCCAAUGUGAGAAAUGAGAAAUCGUUAUCGCCGUCGUCGUCGUCGUCGUCGCCGUCAUCAUCAUCAUCGUCAACAAAAGCAUCAUCAUCAUUGCAGUAGUCGUCGUCAUCAUCAAGAUGCUCCACCUCAUACUCUUCUUCUUCGUGGCCCUCAUCAUCAUCAUCAUUAUCAUCAUCAUCAUCAUUAUCCUCAUCGUCAUCGUCAUCGUCAUCGUCGCCAGCAUCAUCCUCACCAUUGACAUCAUCACCGCGACCAGCACAACCACCAUCAUCAUCACCACCAUCACCUCAGCAUCCAUCACCACUGCCUCAAACUCCACCACCUUCACCACCACCACCACACAACAACAACACCACCACCACCACCACCAUCAACACUAUCACCUGCCGCAGUAGCAGCAGUAGCAGCCGCAGCAGCAUUAAUUUCCAUCUUUAAUAAAAAUCGUUUUUCUCGAUAUUUACAAAAUUCUUGUUGCGUUUUUGCUUAUUUUGAAACGAACUUGAAACAAAAUAGCAAUUAAACCAGCAGAAAACCCCUUAUAUUACGCCUCCUACCGCUAUUGUAAACCCCCUUUUUAUUGUUGCCGAAAUCGCACCUUACAAACCCUUACUCAAACACGUACAAGCCUCCCAGGCCCACCCCUUCCUAUUGUUUCUUUAAAAUUGUCCAUGGAAACUCAUACAAUUGCGGUGUUUGCCACAAUUAAUAAAUUCCUCAACAUUUCUGAUCCUCGUUGUCGUUAGCAUUAACAUUAUCAUCACCAGGAACAUGAACAUCAUCCCCAUCAUCAGUGUCGAAAUCAUCAUCAUCAUCGUCGUCGUCGUCGUCGUCGAAGUCGUCAUCAUCAUCGUCGUCAUCAUCAUCAUCAUUAUCGUCACCAUCAUUAUCGUCAUCAUCAUCAUCGUCGUCAUCAUCAUCAUCACCAUCAUCAUUAUCAUAUUCAUUAUCAUCAUCAUCAUCAUUAUUAUCAUCAUUGUCGACGUCGUCGUCAUCAUCAUGUUCAUCAUCAUCACCAUCAUUAUCAUCACCAUCAUCAUCAGCAGCAGCAGCUUCUUCAUU